GCAGGGGCUAACUAUGCAGGGGCUAACUAUGCAGGGGCUAACUAUGCAGGGGCUAACUAUACAGGGGAUAACUAUGCAGGAUGCUAACUAUGCAGGUUCUAACUAUGCAGGUUCUAACUAUACAGGUGCUAACUAUGCAGGAUGCUAACUAUGCAGGUUCUAACUAUACAGGUGCUAACUAUGCAGGAUGCUAACUAUGCAGGUUCUAACUAUACAGGGGCUAACUAUGUAGGAUGCUAACUAUGUAGGUGCUAACUAUACAGGGGCUAACUAUGCAGGAUGCUAACUAUGCAGGUUCUAACUAUACAGGGGCUAACUAUGCAGG
ensembl:lncRNA